rnacentral:rRNA from 1 species
GGAAUCUUGCACAAUGGAGGAAACUCUGAUGCAGCGAUGCCGCGUGAGUGAAGAAGGCCUUUGGGUUGUAAAGCUCUUUUGUAGGGGAAGAUAAUGACUGUACCCUAAGAAUAAGGUCCGGCUAACUUCGUGCCAGCAGCCGCGGUAAUACGAAGGGACCUAGCGUAGUUCGGAAUUACUGGGCGUAAAGCGCGCGUAGGCCGUUGAGUUAGUUAAUUGUGAAAUCCCAAAGCUUAACUUUGGAACUGCAAUUAAAACUGCUCGACUAGAGUUUGAUAGAGGAAAGCGGAAUACAUAGUGUAGAGGUGAAAUUCGUAGAUAUUAUGUAGAACACCAGUUGCGAAGGCGGCUUUCUGGAUCAACACUGACGCUGAGGCGCGAAAGUAUGGGUAGCAAAGAGGAUUAGAUACCCUCGUAGUCCAUACCAUAAACGAUGAUUGCUAGAUGUUGGAAAUUUAUUUUCAGUAUCGCAGCUAACGCAUUAAGCAAUCCGCCUGGGGAGUACGACCGCAAGGUUAAAACUCAAAUGAAUUGACGG